GACGAAGGGGGCUAGCGUUGUUCGGAAUUACUGGGCGUAAAGGGCUCGUAGGCGGCCAACUAAGUCGGAUGUGAAAUCCCCAAGCUUAACUUGGGAACUGCAUCCGAUACUGGAUGGCUUGAAUCCGGGAGAGGGAUGCAGAAUUCCAGGUGUAGCGGUGAAAUGCGUAGAUAUCUGGAGGAAUACCGGUGGCGAAGGCGGCAUCCUGGACCGGCAUUGACGCUGAGGAGCGAAAGCUAGGGGAGCAAACGGG
rnacentral:rRNA from 1 species